AGUGAACGCUGGCGGUAGGCCUAACACAUGCAAGUCGAACGGCAGCACAGUAAGAGCUUGCUCUUACGGGUGGCGAGUGGCGGACGGGUGAGGAAUACAUCGAAUCUACUUUUUCGUGGGGGAUAACGUAGGGAAACUUACGCUAAUACCGCAUACGACCUACGGGUGAAAGCAGGGGAUCUUUGGACCUUGCGCGAUUGAAUGAGCCGAUGUCGGAUUAGCUAGUUGGCGGGGUAAAGGCCCACCAAGGCGACGAUCCGUAGCUGGUCUGAGAGGAUGAUCAGCCACACUGGAACUGAGACACGGUCCAGACUCCUACGGGAGGCAGCAGUGGGGAAUAUUGGACAAUGGGCGCAAGCCUGAUCCAGCCAUACCGCGUGGGUGAAGAAGGCCUUCGGGUUGUAAAGCCCUUUUGUUGGGAAAGAAAAGCAGCAGGUUAAUACCCCGCUGUUCUGACGGUACCCAAAGAAUAAGCACCGGCUAACUUCGUG
rnacentral:rRNA from 1 species